CAGAACUAGAACAUUCUACAAAAUGUAGGCCUUUUACCAAAGAGAGCUUUACUCGCAUCUCCACAAGACCACGAGAUUGUUGUUUCAUCCUUCAGAACAAGGACUUUGUAUUUGUGAAGGAAAUACGCGAAGAAGGCACCUUGGUUUGUGAUGUCCUACGCAAAUACCACACAGAGAGUUUCUUCAAUGAUCCUUGUGAUUCUAAACUGCUCAACAUCGUCCGUGUUAGUGACAUGAGCAGAGCUAGACAUCGACUGAUCAGCAAACAGCAGUUGCAUCGUAAAGUUGUCUGUCUGCAAGCCAACCCUGGUGAAGCUGACACAGGGUAUAUUUUGUUCCCCAUGCUGCAUCAUAUAGAACGCAAGUAACUGAAUUGUCUCAUGAUGUGGGUCAGGGCAGUUUGGACAGAGCCAAAGGGAGAAGAAGAGGGAGUCAUCCCGGAGGUUUGGGUGAAGGAUAACAUGGUUUACUGGCCAACAGGAGCUAAUGUAACCAAAGCAGCCGAAGAAAUGCGACAACCAGCAAGCAGCUGGCAAAAGUUUCCACUGCUGAAAAUCAAAAUCAACUCAAAGAAGCGAGAAGAGUGUGAUGCAUUCGACCAAACAACAACUGCAGAGCUAAGUGAGGAAGAAUGCACUCCUGUUAGGAGGGUGAAGAAGAAAAAAUACCCAGGGUUUAUCUUAGAUGAGGAUGAAAGCAGCUCAGAUGGUGCUGGAACCGGAUGUGGC